UACAGAGGUCUCAAGCGUUGUCCGGAUUUAUUGGGCGUAAAGAGCGUGUAGGCGGCUUUACAGGUCCGUUGUGAAAACUCGAGGCUCAACCUCGAGACGCCGGUGGAAACCGUAAGGCUAGAGUCCGGAAGAGGAGAGUGGAAUUCCUGGUGUAGCGGUGAAAUGCGCAGAUAUCAGGAGGAACACCCGUGGCGAAAGCGGCUCUCUGGGACGGUACUGACGCUGAGACGCGAAAGCGUGGGGAGCAAACAGG
rnacentral:rRNA from 1 species